rnacentral:sRNA from 1 species
GGUGCUGUUCGAAACUUUGGAACUCUAGAUAGAAAAUAUCUCUUGGCACUUAAUCUGCUACUAAUUUUUGCUGUUAAAUCAGAUGGAUCAAACUUUGUGUUUAAUAGCUAAAUGUUGAAUCUGAAAUGGAUGACAGACCAAAGUUAAACAAGCCUCCGGAAACUCUUAUCACUACUAUUGAUUCUAGUUCCAGUUGGUGGACCAACUGGGUGAUCCCUGCCAUCUCUGCAGUGGCCGUCGCCUUGAUGUAUCGCCUGUACAUGGCGGAGGACUGAACACCUCCUCAGAAGUCAGCGCAGGAAAAG